rnacentral:lncRNA from 1 species
GAAAAUUUUAAUAUCAUGGAUAUUUUGAGGGGCGUGACAGAGGUGGUAUCAGAGCAUGGUUUGAGGAUUACUGAAAUAUUUGAUAUGUUGACGUGCAAAAUAUAUUGAGGUCUAGUGAAGUACAGUGAUUGGUGAAAAUUUUCUUUGAUGCAUUUUAGGAAUCAAGGAUGAUGAGGUAAUUUGGUCCGUCUAUUUUAAUUGUUUCUGAUUAAUUAAGUGGGAUG